AAUAAUAAACCAAAAGCUUCUAAAAUAAGCUGAAAACCGUAGGACAACUUGUUAUUGCUAAGAAAGUGAAGCUGUCUUUAUUUAUUUAUUUUCCUUAAAAAAUGGCCCUACUAAAAAAUGUUGAUCUUUAACUUUUUUUUUUUAUUUUUAAAUGUUUGUUUAAUAAAUUUGGUUGCAUUUUUAUUAUUGUUGCAAUAAAUUUUUAAAAUGGGUUUUUUUUUUUUUUUUGAAAUCAAGUAGGAGCCGAAAAUAGCAAAGAAAAAUUGUGGUUUGGAAAUGUGUUAAAAAGGAAAUGGGCUAUUUAGUGUAAACGUGCACAUGCCUUGAAAGUAAUUAAAAAGGUUUGGGUGCUUAUGACUUAGCUGUUUUAUGUAAGAAAGCUCAGUGUGAGUUGGGCUCAAAUAUCUUAGCUGAAGCUGCCCCAUAGAGUUCAGUUGUUGGUGUGGAAGACAAUUGAGAAACUAUGGGAGCUCGAUGGACUAUUGAAAAGGGUCGAUGGGGUGCUGAAAGGGUCAGAUCGGGAGGCCCAUUGCUAUUCUUUUGUGGGAAGUGUGGAAUAACAUGAAUCUGUUGAUGGUCAAGGGCUCUCCUCUUGACUGUGCUUCUCUAGCGAAUUGUGUACGUGCACAUUUGGAGGAGUUUAUGAGUGUUCAUGCUGUGGUGGUUCCAGACUUUGGGAGGGAACUACAGGAAAGUGUGGUUUCAUAGGUGCCGCCGCCACCAAGGUGUGGAAGCUCAAUUCAUAUGCUUCCUUAAUGGAUCAUGAGGUGGUGGGUGACAUUAGUUAGGUGAUUUGAGAUUCUUCGGGUAGCCUUAUCCUUGCUGGUUGCAAGAAAGUUUGUCACAAGUGCCGAUUAAGUUUUUUGAAGCUUUGAUGAUGUGUCAUGGCUUGAGUGCUUUAUUUGAAUAUUUAUCUUGUGGUUUGCCCUCUUUCAUACGUAUCAAAUCUAACUAUACUGAGCCAAAUAACACUAUUUUACUUCAAAUAUGAAAUUGUUUAAGUUGUCUUGUUCUGUUAAAUAGAUUUGGGAUUUUGCUGCUUCUGAGCAUAGUACGACCCACCGUUUGACCUGCGUGACUAUUGUAAGUGAGAAUUGAGUGGAGUUUUUGUGACAUCUCUUUUUCUUGCUUUGAUGUGAUUGAGCUUUGUUGUAUUAUUCUCGACUUUGAUGAAUUUAGAUUUCCUUUCUAUUUGUUUUGCCAUAAAAUUACAGGUUAUAUAUUUUGUUUCUUAUUUCCAA